rnacentral:rRNA from 1 species
AGUCUACGGGAGGCAGCAGUGGGGGGUAUUGCGCAAUGGGCGGAAGCCUGACGCAGCGACGCCGCGUGAGGGACGGAGGCCUUCGGGUUGUGAACCUCUUUCGCCGGUGGAGAAGGCGCCCCCGUGUGGGGUGCUGACUGUAGCCGGGUAAAGAAGCGCCGGCUAACUACGUGCCAGCAGCCGCGGUAAUGACU